rnacentral:tRNA from 1 species
CGGAGCGGUAGUUCAGUUGGUUAGAAUACCGGCCUGUCACGCCGGGGGUCGCGGGUUCGAGCCCCGUCCGCUCCGCCA